CGAUGACCACACCGCUAACUUAGCAGACCUGCUCCACCUCCUUAGAACUGAUUGACGUGUUGGCCGUGUUGUU